UACGUAGGGGGCAAGCGUUGUCCGGAUUUAUUGGGCGUAAAGAGCGUGUAGGCGGCCAUGUAGGUCCGUUGUGAAAACUCGAGGCUCAACCUCGAGACGCCGAUGGAAACCAUAUGGCUAGAGUCCGGAAGAGGAGAGUGGAAUUCCUGGUGUAGCGGUGAAAUGCGCAGAUAUCAGGAGGAACACCCGUGGCUAAGGCGGCUCUCUAGUACGGUACUGACGCUGAGACGCGAAAGCGUGGGGAGCGAACAGG
rnacentral:rRNA from 1 species